ACGGAAGGCAGCAGUGGGGAAUAUUGCGCAAUGGGCGGAAGCCUGACGCAGCGACGCCGCGUGGGGGAUGACGGCCUUCGGGUUGUAAACCUCUUUCGAUCGGGACGAAGCCUUCCGUUGGGGGGGUGACGGUACCGGUAGAAGAAGCACCGGCCAACUACGUGCCAGCAGCCGCGGUAACACGUAGGGUGCGAGCGUUGUCCGGAAUUAUUGGGCGUAAAGAGCUCGUAGGCGGUGUGUCGCGUCGGCCGUGAAAACCUGUGGCUUAACUGUGGGCUUGCGGUCGAUACGGGCAUCACUGGAGUUCGGCAGGGGAGACUGGAAUUCCUGGUGUAGCGGUGAAAUGCGCAGAUAUCAGGAGGAACACCGGUGGCGAAGGCGGGUCUCUGGGCCGAUACUGACGCUGAGGAGCGAAAGCGUGGGGAGCGAACAGGAUUAGAUACCCUGGUA
rnacentral:rRNA from 1 species